CCUUGGCUGUUUUGGACCUCUAGAUCCAACUUCAUGGCUUUAAAGUCUCCCUGAGUUAGUCUCCCACUCCAGGAUCCAGUACUAGCCAGAAUAGAAUCCAUCUAGCCAGCUUCAUCUCUGCUGUCCUGUACCUACUGGGUCCAGCUUCACAAACUCUGAGAAGCUCUCCAAGGACAGAUUCCAUCUAGCCAACUCCAUCUCUGCUUUCCUGUACCUUCUGUAUCCAGCUUUUCCACUAUGAAGUUCCCCCAGCAAGCCCGCACCCCACCUCUCAGAGC